UACGAAGGGGGCUAGCGUUGCUCGGAAUUACUGGGCGUAAAGGGCGCGUAGGCGGACGUUUAAGUCGGGGGUGAAAGCCCGGGGCUCAACCUCGGAAUUGCCUUCGAUACUGGACGUCUUGAGUACGGGAGAGGUGAGUGGAACUCCGAGUGUAGAGGUGAAAUUCGUAGAUAUUCGCAAGAACACCAGUGGCGAAGGCGGCUCACUGGCCCGAUACUGACGCUGAGGCACGAAAGCGUGGGGAGCAAACAGG
rnacentral:rRNA from 1 species